UACGUAGGGUGCAAGCGUUGCCCGGAUUUAUUGGGCGUAAAGGGCGCGUAGGCGGCUCUGCAAGUUCGUUGUGAAAUCGCCGGGCUCAACUGGGCGGGGUCAGCGGAUACGGCAGAGCUUGAGCAAGCUAGGGGGCAAUGGAAUUCCCGGUGUAGUGGUGGAAUGCGUAGAUAUCGGGAGGAACACCAGUGGCGAAGGCGGUUGCCUGGGGCUUUGCUGACGCUGAUGCGCGAAAGCGUGGGGAGCGAUCCGG
rnacentral:rRNA from 1 species